CGUCAAAUCGUAUUUCGAAUUGAUAUUGAGGAAAAAUAUUUUAACAACUAAAUUUCGUUCCUGAAAAUAAUAAUCAAGACAAAAAAUAUAGCGACAAACAUUAUAUUCGAUUUCAAGUGAUAGGGUUACAAUCUCUAAAAACAAAUCCAAAAAAACGUAGUCCUCAGAUUCUUCUCCUCACAAAUGAUUGUUCAAGAGCUUGAGAGCUUGAUCUUGAACUUGACAGAUUUCAGAUUUGUGGUGCAUCGUGAACAUUUUGAAGAUCGUCACGAACCGGGAUUUAGUGUUGGUUAUCAUGAGCAGAAGAUUUGAAGCCGAUCGCCUAUGAUUUCAGUUCGCCUUUGGGAUUUGACCUUGAUGUUGUUUUCCAGAGCUUCUUUAGCAUUUCCUCUGCUUACUUGAUUGUUCCUUCUUUUCUUACCCUGUGACCCCCUUUAUAUAGGUGUGGGUAGAGUAGCUUUCAAGAAAACCCUAGUGUGUCAUUGGGCUGGAGGCCUAUGGGCCGAUCCUUUUGAUGGAAGAAUGGACUAGCCCAAUUUUAUUGGACUUUUAUUUAAUUCAAUUAAAUUAGAUUUAAAUAAUUGACUUAAUCAUACUAGCCCAUAAUAUUUGUUUGGUCUAGUAUAUAUCCAAUCAUGGUAAAAUCCAAAUUUUGUAUGGAUUUAAAUUUAAUAAAAAAUUUAAUUGUCUACAAACGUUUCUUGAUCACUUCGACUUUGAAAAAAUAUUAUUUUAUUUCCUGAUCUCUUAGUAAAUAUUUGAAAUUUAUGAACUUUUUUAGAUUUUAUUUUCAUUUAAGUACCUACCGAGUUCCUGGUCUGUGCCAUGCGAAAAUAUGCAAGGUUGUUGUGCUCGGCUCCAAUUUGGACCUAUUUGGUUUAACAUUAGAAAUUAAUAAAAUUAAUCAGUUCCGUUUAAUUAAUGUAAUACUCGUAAUUGCUGGCUUACGGAGAAAAAAGUCUCGUUGGCCUAAUAAUAUGAUCAGAUUAGGUACAUUUAAUUAAAUGUUCUAAUGGACCACUAGUAGCAGGCCAUGAAAUUAGCUUCAACUCACAUCUACUUUGCUUUCAAAUUUCAAACACUUUAAAUGAUUAAAUCGCUACAAAUAUAAUCUGAUUAUAAAAUUUGAAAUUGAUUACACAUAGAGCUAACGAUAUAGAUACUUACCAAAUUUUUGGUUAACUUCGAUAAGCCAAACUCUUCAAAUAAGUGAUGUCAUAACUAUGAACCAAUUUCAAGGUUUAAAGUGAAUGCAAGUUUAUUAAUUAAUUAAUUAUCUAGAUGAAAAGUUUGGAUUCUAUGUGAUUAAAACCUAGCUAGGAUAUUUAAUUUCCCUUAUUGCCUUUGUGACUAAAUAACACUUAUCCUAUUAAAUCUCAUUUGGUAGUUAAUCAUGGUUCUAUAUGGGUCAAAAUCUGACCAUAUGUGGAUUAGCGCUAAAAGGAAUGUUAAGGGGUCGACUAAGCCAUGAUCGUAUCUACAAGGUGUAAUAACGACGAGUACCCGGCCAAUGCCGAGAUCGAGCUAUUAGAAAGCUUGUACAGCGAAAUAUAUGUCGUAAUACUUAAAGGGAGCGAUAUAAAGUACAGUCAAGAGAUAGGUUGUUCUGGGUAANNNNNNNNNNNNNNNNNNNNNNNNNCCUUAUCGCCGAAGUUCCAAAAGCCCGUCACAUUGCAUGAAUUCUUUCUUGGAAAAAUCCUUCAUGGGAGGAAAUGCUCUCGGCACACGUUAAGCCAAGGUAGGCUAACUUGCACCGUCAAUGGCUAGAAGGCGUAAACAACCAGUAACAGCGACCGUUACUGUCACACCUCCUUUUUCCUACACCCCCGGAAGAGAGUAUAUAAGGGAGUUUUUCCAAUUUAAGUGACAAUCGAAACAUGACUUAUUUUUAUUAAAAAUCAGAGUCGCCACUUGGGAUAAUUUUAUGGUGUUCCAAGUCACCAGUUCAAAUCCCAAAUCGAGGAAAAGAUUGACUCUGUAUUAUAGUCCGCGAACCAGAAAUCCAGCUAAAGAAUUCUGUUAAGCCGAGAGAAGGUGUUAGGCAUUCCCGGAUUCUGUGGUUCUAGCACGGUCGCUCACCUGUUACAAUUGGCCUAAUUAUUUGAUUUUUACACGUUUUAAACCUAUUGUGUAUUUUUUUUUAACUUUUUAGCCGCUUUUAAUAUUUUGGAAAAAUUCAAGGUUAUUUAAAACACAUCGUAAGCCACGCUACAUGAAAUGCACCCGUGGUUCACGACACGUUCUAUUUAACCUUGUUGGAAAUUAAAGUUGGGUCACAUGAAAUGCGCACCCGGAUUUGAAGAUUUACGUAUCACGAUCAUGCCACUUCAGGCCCAUCGUACAAGAGAGCCUUAUCCAAGAGCUCCACUUUCCAUGGGAAAAAGGUCUUUUGUGCUUUCAAAUUCAUGAAGCUUAUGCAUCCCAUACUUUGAGCCAGCACUAUAACAAGACUGUUAGUAUCCAAUUGCUUCGACAGGAUAGAAAUUAGAGGGAAGUGAAAGACGAGGCAGAACUACAGCAAUACCGUCCUUUGUGACCAUAUACAAAAAACCAUGAAAACUACAACCUAUAACUUCGUCAACUAUAACAUCCCAAACUUGAAUGUUAUAGCAGCUGUCAUCAUUUACAGUCAAGUUUACAUGUAAACUAGAAUGAACAAGUUGACACUUGACAUUUCCCUCAGUAUAUUUCUGUUCACUAGCCGAGUGAGCCCAAAAGGAGAAAAACAAACAACAACAUCUUCUUUGGAUCCAUCUAUACAAUGAAAACUUUUCUGCUAUGGCAUGAAUGUGAUCUACUACAGAAAAUCCUAUUCUUAUUUACAUCGGUAGCAUCAGAUAGGCUACUCCCAUAUGAGCCAUAUUUCCUUAACAUUUCAAAUAUGCUUAGACUAAUUUCUAUAAUUCCAGUUUAAACAAAACAACUCAAACAAUGUAUAAUACCAAACAAGUAUAAUAGUAAAAGUUAUAAAUAAAUUAAAAUGGCCAUGAGCUAAUCUUUAUAAUACCAGAAAAUGAUAAAUUCUCAUUUAGCAUGGAGUAAAUUAAACUAGACAAAUAUUAUUUGCACACCAAUAAGAAAUAAGAUCUGAAAUAAAAAUGAACAAAGUUGGAAUAUAACCUCAAGCAAAACGACUCGUCUUCCAAUUUAAGAAGGAAUUUCAAGUAUGCAUAUGUGCACAAGCCAUGGUUGACCAAGAGCAUUGAACAAAAUCUGAAACAUGGACCGUGAACCGGAAUAAACAACUCGCAGGCGAUCUCGACUUAACCGGAAAGCCUCACUAGCGGCCUCGAGAAGAGCCUCGUCUCAGUAGGGUCAGAGCUGCUGCAUUUUUGCAGCUUUUGGGGUCGUUUUUUGGCUACUUCGAUGGCUGAAAAUGGUUAAGAAAGCAGUGCUUCAAAGCUGGUUUUUACAGCUGAAAAAAUGAUGUUACAAAGGUGACGUUUCAGUUAUGUAAAAGGUGGUUUUGGGGUGAUUCAAAGCUGAAGUUUAGGGGUGUUUUUAAGCAUUUUAAUGGAGGUUUCUCAAUGGAUUUUUGGAGGAGAAGAACUAGCUUUAAUAGGUUUUAUGACUGUGUUUUUCAUGGUGUUAACACAGUAAGAGUGAAACCAAGUAAAGAAGAAAGGAAAAAGAGAUCUAAUGUUGCUGCCCCUUUUCUUUGUUUUUGCUCGUUUUCUAUCCUUUUCCAGAUCUAUUUUUUCCUGUUUUCUUGUGCUCUGCUUUUUUUUCUGUGUGUGAGUGUGUUGUCUUUUUAAAAGAGAUGAGAGAGAGGGAAAAUGAAAGUGAGAUAGGGGUGUGAGCUGUAGGGAAUAAUUCUGUUGCCUUGGAAAGGGACGUAUCUGUAGUGUGCAAGAAAUAAGAAUAGAAA
rnacentral:lncRNA from 1 species